rnacentral:rRNA from 1 species
GCUCAGGAUGAACGCUGGCGGCGUGCUUAACACAUGCAAGUCGAACGAUGAUCUCCAGCUUGCUGGGGGGAUUAGUGGCGAACGGGUGAGUAACACGUGAGUAACCUGCCCUUAACUCUGGGAUAAGCCUGGGAAACUGGGUCUAAUACCGGAUAUGACUCCUCAUCGCAUGGUGGGGGGUGGAAAGCUUUUUGUGGUUUUGGAUGGACUCGCGGCCUAUCAGCUUGUUGGUGAGGUAAUGGCUCACCAAGGCGACGACGGGUAGCCGGCCUGAGAGGGUGACCGGCCACACUGGGACUGAGACACGGCCCAGACUCCUACGGGAGGCAGCAGUGGGGAAUAUUGCACAAUGGGCGAAAGCCUGAUGCAGCGACGCCGCGUGAGGGAUGACGGCCUUCGGGUUGUAAACCUCUUUCAGUAGGGAAGAAGCGAAA